GUAGGGAAUAUUGGGCAAUGGAUGCAAGUCUGACGCAGCCAUGCCGCGUGCAGGAAGAAGGCGCUACGCGUUGUAAACUGCUUUUAACCGGGAAGAAACCCCAGGACGUGUCCUGGGUUGACGGUACCGGAGGAAUAAGCACCGGCUAACUUCGUGCCAGCAGCCGCGGUAAUACGAAGGGUGCAAGCGUUAUCCGGAUUCAUUGGGUUUAAAGGGUGCGUAGGCGGAGCGUUAAGUCAGUGGUGAAAUCCUGCAGCUUAACUGUAGACUUGCCAUUGAUACUGGCGCUCUUGAGUGCGCUUGAAGUGGGCGGAAUGUGCCGUGUAGCGGUGAAAUGCUUAGAUAUGGCACAGAACACCAAUUGCGAAGGCAGCUCACUAAGGCGAUACUGACGCUGAGGCACGAAAGCGUGGGGAUCGAACAGGAUUAGAAACCCCAGUAGUCC
rnacentral:rRNA from 1 species